rnacentral:rRNA from 2 species
UACGAAGGGGGCUAGCGUUGUUCGGAAUUACUGGGCGUAAAGCGCACGUAGGCGGAUAUUUAAGUCAGGGGUGAAAUCCCGGAGCUCAACUCCGGAACUGCCUUUGAUACUGGGUAUCUCGAGUAUGGAAGAGGUGAGUGGAAUUCCGAGUGUAGAGGUGAAAUUCGUAGAUAUUCGGAGGAACACCAGUGGCGAAGGCGGCUCACUGGUCCAUUACUGACGCUGAGGUGCGAAAGCGUGGGGAGCAAACAGG